rnacentral:misc_RNA from 1 species
CCAAAUCAGCUGUUCCCAAACAAAGAAUCAGAACAAUUUACGUUGCGAAAAACGGCACAGAUAAAACGAACAAAGAUCAAAAUACAACAAGUACUAGUGAAAUCACAAGCAGAUAGGUACAUAAUUUGACACACACGACACUUUCCAAAAAGCACUGAGAAUAUCAGAAAUCAGUGAAUUAUGAAUUUAUCCUUCGCUGGCUGCGGUUUCCUCGGCAUUUAUCAUGUCGGUGUGGCCGUCUGUUUUAAGAAUUAUGCGCCGCAUCUAUUGCUAGAGAAAAUAGGUGGGGCAUCGGCUGGCUCGCUGGCCGCUUGCUGUCUGCUGUGCGAUCUGCCCCUGGGCAGCAUGACAUCCGACUUCUUUCGGGUGGUGAACGAAGCGCGACGCCAUUCGCUAGGCCCUUUCAGUCCGUCGUUCAACAUACAGACCUGCCUGCUCGAGGGUCUACAGAAGCAUCUGCCCGACGAUGCACACAAGCGUGUCAAUGGACGCCUACACAUCUCGCUGACAAGCGUCUUCGAUGGCCAGAACGUGAUCAUAUCGGAGUUUGAGUCGCGCGAGGAGGUUUUGCAAGCGCUGCUCUGCGCCUGUUUUAUACCUGGCUUCUCUGGCAUUUUGCCACCUCGUUUUCGUGGAGUGCGGUACAUGGACGGCGCCUUUUCGAACAAUCUACCGAUUCUGGACGAGAACACAAUCACGGUUAGUCCCUUCUGUGGCGAAAGUGAUAUCUGUCCACGCGACCAAAGCUCGCAGUUGUUUCACUUUAAUUGGGCCAACACAAGCAUUGAGAUUUCGCGGCAAAACGUCAACCGAUUUGUGCGCAUUCUGUUUCCGCCGCGACCCGAGUUCCUCUCCAAAUUCUGCCAGCAGGGCUUCGAUGAUGCACUGCAAUUUCUACAUCGCAAUAAUCUAAUCAACUGCAGACGAUGCGUUGCUGUUCAGUCGACAUUUGUUGUAUCGGAAGCAAUAGCACAGCCACCUGAAUUCGAUCCAGAGUGCCAUGAGUGUAAAAAGCAUAGAAAGGACGCUUUGAGUUCAAAUAUGCCGCAGACAGUGCUCGAUGUAAUACAGGACUACAUUGAGCAGGCAAAUAAGGGAUUAGCCAACUGGAUCUUCAGGCAUCGUGGCAUUAAAUUGCUCUCGCUGCCAGCAACAGUUCCAAUGGACUUUUUGCUGGCUACCGUAUACAAAAUCACCAGCCUGACACCAAAACUGACGAAGCAAGUGCGACAACUGGUAGCCCAGUUCAAUACUGCCAUUCAAAUGCGACUCUUUAGUAAAUUUACGCUCUACGAUCCGCCACAUUUUGAUGCCACAGGCCUGCUGCACUCCAGUCGCUUAUAUGGGCCGCGUGUUUCGAUACUCGUUGAUGAGUGUGGCGCCACACCACUGAAUGUGGAUGUUGAUAAUUUCGAACAUGUUCUGAAAAUGAGCACGCAUAAUGACGCAUUAUAUGCCUACUACUACACCGAUAAUAGCACUAAUCAGGUCAAAGUGACCGAAAUUUUUGAUUAUGAUGAAAUGACGGAAAAUGGUGAACUGGGUACAGAUUUACAGCUAUAUGAAGGCUCUGUCGAGGAUCAUCCGAAUCCUCGCCAGCCACAUUCACACAAUGCAGUCGUCAGCGAAUGGAAUGGGGUCGAGUCCGUACAAAUAAUGCCCACCACACCUGAAUUACACGAUGUCGCAUUUUAAAGCAUUCGAACUCGCACACAUACAGCUACGAAUUGGCAAAUCAUAAACGAUUAAACAAUAGUUCAUAUCAUUUGUCAGACUUUUUCAUAGACGCUCACACGCCAAAUGCGACAGAAUCGUCUCUAUCGGGAGUGCCAGAGUCGCCGUACUUCAACACCUUUAAUAUCGAACACAAUUCGGCAGAAUUUAAUGAUCCAACGACCGAUCAAAAUUCGAUCAGAACGUCGACAAAUAACAACGAUUUGUGUAUAGAAAUUGAAUGAGCGGUCCCCAC